GUUUCCUACGGGGGGCAGCAGUGGGGAAUAUUGCACAAUGGGGGAAACCCUGAUGCAGCAACGCCGCGUGGGUGAAGGAGCGUUUCGGCGCGUAAAGCCCUGUCAGCGGGGAAGAAGAAAGACGGUACCCGACCAAGAAGCCCCGGCUAACUACGUGCCAGCAGCCGCGGUAAUACGUAGGGGGCGAGCGUUAUCCGGAAUUACUGGGUUCAAAGGGAGCGUAGAGGGCGAGGUAAGCCUGACGUGGAAGCCCGCGGCGCAACCGCGGAACGGCUUUGGG
rnacentral:rRNA from 1 species